AUGGCAGAUACGGCCGUCCCGCCCCUCCCACCGCUGUUAACUGCAUUUACGGUGGCGUCGUAGGCGUCUAAAGUUAUUUGCUGCAGAAGAUGGUCUCAUAUUCCAUGUUUGCUUAAACUCUGGCAGCCUCGAGACGAACGAUGGGAAUUUAAUAAGCACCUCUUGUCAGAGGGGGAAGAAAAGUUUUCCUACUCCUGACAGCCGACAUAUGGACGUCGCAGGUGAUGAUCUGUUACGUGUAGAGGAUAAGCGGAACAGGCGGCCCCUGACUGGCGCCAGCAUCCACGCACAUGCAGCAGCAGUUACAUUACCGUGCAGACGUGUUAUUGCACACCUGGGCAAAAACAAU